CAGUAGCCACGGUAAUACGAAGGUCCCAAGCGUUGUUCGGAAUCACUGGGCGUAAAGGGAGCGUAGGCGGCGUGGUAAGUCAGAUGUGAAAUCCCGGGGCUCAACCCCGGAACUGCAUUUGAUACUGCCAUGCUUGAGGGUUGGAGAGGUAGCUGGAAUUCUUGGUGUAGCAGUGAAAUGCGUGGAUAUCAAGAGGAACACUCGUGGCGAAGGCGAGCUACUGGACAACAUCUGACGCUGAGGCUCGAAGGCCAUGGUAGCGAAAGGGAUUAGAUACCCCCGUAGUCCCUGUCUCUUAUAC
rnacentral:rRNA from 1 species